rnacentral:rRNA from 1 species
GAUGAACGCUGGCGGCGUGCCUAAUACAUGCAAGUCGAGCGAAUGGAUUAAGAGCUUGCUCUUAUGAAGUUAGCGGCGGACGGGUGAGUAACACGUGGGUAACCUGCCCAUAAGACUGGGAUAACUCCGGGAAACCGGGGCUAAUACCGGAUAACAUUUUGAACCGCAUGGUUCGAAGUUGAAAGGCGGCUUCGGCUGUCACUUAUGGAUGGACCCGCGUCGCAUUAGCUAGUUGGUGAGGUAACGGCUCACCAAGGCAACGAUGCGUAGCCGACCUGAGAGGGUGAUCGGCCACACUGGGACUGAAACACGGCCCAGACUCCUACGGGAGGCAGCAGUAGGGAAUCUUCCGCAAUGGACGAAAGUCUGACGGAGCAACGCCGCGUGAGUGAUGAAGGCUUUCGGGUCGUAAAACUCUGUUGUUAGGGAAGAACAAGUGCUAGUUGAAUAAGCUGGCACCUUGACGGUACCUAACCAGAAAGCCACGGCUAACUACGUGCCAGCCGCCGCCGUAA